rnacentral:rRNA from 1 species
GAGGAAUAUUGGGCAAUGGGCGCAAGCCUGACCCAGCGACGCCGCGUGGGGGACGAAGGCCUUCGGGUCGUAAACCCUUGUCAUAGGGGAAGAUGGGUGUAUAUGCUAAUACCAUAUACACUUGACUGUACCCUAAGAGGAAGCCCCGGCUAACUCCGUGCCAGCAGCCGCGGUAAUACGGAGGGGGCAAGCGUUAUUCGGAAUUAUUGGGCGUAAAGGGCGCGCAGGCGGCCUGGAAAGUCUCGGGUGAAAUCCCUCGGCUCAACCGAGGAAUUGCCCUGGAUACUGUCAGGCUCGAGGCCGGGAGGGGGUAGCGGAAUUCCCAGUGUAGCGGUGAAAUGCGUAGAUAUUGGGAGGAACACCAGUGGCGAAGGCGGCUACCUGGACCGGUUCUGACGCAGAGGCGCGAAAGCGUGGGGAGCAA